UACGGGGGGGGCUAGCGUUGUUCGGAAUUACUGGGCGGAAAGGGCGCGUAGGCGGUCUACUAAGUUGGAUGUGAAAACUCUGGGCUUAACCCAGAGCCUGCAUUCAAAACUGAUAGGCUAGAGUUCUGGAGGGGAUAGCGGAAUUCCUGGUGUAGCGGUGAAAUGCGUAGAUAUCAGGAGGAACACCGGUGGCGAAGGCGGCUAUCUGGACAGAAACUGACGCUGAGGCGCGAAAGCUAGGGGAGCAAACAGG
rnacentral:rRNA from 1 species